rnacentral:rRNA from 1 species
UACGUAGGGGGCUAGCGUUGUUCGGAAUUACUGGGCGUAAAGCGCACGUAGGCGGCUUGGUAAGUUAGAGGUGAAAGCCUGGAGCUCAACUCCAGAAUUGCCUUUAAGACUGCCGAGCUAGCAGGUGAGAGAGGUGAGUGGAAUUCCGAGUGUAGAGGUGAAAUUCGUAGAUAUUCGGAAGACCACCAGUGGCGAAGGCGGCUCACUGGCUCAUACUGGCCGCUGAGGUGCGAAAGCGUGGGGAGCAAACAGG